AUUUGAGAUAGGUAACAGGAGAGUUUGGAGAUUAGUGGGAAAAUGCUCUAGGUCAAGACAUUGGAGGUUUCUGUGAGAGUGAUGUUCAGACGGUGGUGUCAAUUGGGUCUUGGGUAUGCCAAUGUCAAAAGUCAGCAGAUGGUGGUCAGAAAAGGAAUAUUGGAGAGAUUAGAGGCAGUACAGAGGUUGGUGAAGGCGAGAUCAAGAGUGUUUCCCGCUGUAUGGGUUGCUAAAUUGGAC